GACGAACGCUGGCGGCGUGCUUAACACAUGCAAGUCGAGCGGUAAGGCCCUUUCGGGGGUACACGAGCGGCGAACGGGUGAGUAACACGUGGGUGACCUGCCCUCAGCUCUGGGAUAAGCCCUGGGAAACCGGGUCUAAUACUGGAUAUGACUCCAUGACGCAUGUUGUGGGUGAAAGCCUUGUGCGGCUGAGGAUGGGCCCGCGGCCUAUCAGCUUGUUGGUGGGGUGAUGGCCUACCAAGGCGACGAC
rnacentral:rRNA from 1 species